rnacentral:rRNA from 1 species
UACAGAGGGUGCGAGCGUUAAUCGGAAUUACUGGGCGUAAAGCGUGCGUAGACGGUUAUUUAAGUCGGGUGUGAAAGCCCCGGGCUCAACCUGGGAAUUGCAUUCGAGACUGAAUAGCUAGGGUACGGUAGAGGGAAGUGGAAUUCCGGUGUAGCGGUGAAAUGCGUAGAUAUCGGAAGGAACAUCAGUGGCGAAAGCGACUUCCUGGACCAGUACCGACGUUC